rnacentral:lncRNA from 1 species
GCACAUGCUCCCAUCGUGAUUCGCAUUGACAAUCGUUUAAUUCACUUUUAAUUACCUCAAUAACAAGUAAAAUUAAAACUCGUCGUACCAUUUUGAUUGGCAUAUAAGUUGCAGUAAAUUAUUUCAUCAUUUCAAUCUUCUUCGAUCCAUUCGAAUUGAGUUUUUCCGCUUGUGCGAAUAAAGUCCAGCGUCGAGUAGACGAUAAAUCAGAAAUGUCAUCUGAUAUUUCCGCCAAGGUUUUAUAAACAGAACAUCUCGAGUAUACAAACAAGUUCUCGUUUCUUUAAAACAAAAUAUACCAAAACUAAUAAAAUAAGCUGAGAGAUAAGUAGAAAAAUCUGGAACGCCACUCUUUUUCACAUUGAAAUGAGUUUGGUAAACUGAAAACUUACCGCUACGCGCACAAUUCGAAGGUUUAUCAAGAAACGGUCCACAGUAUUUCGCCAUUCUAGACUCUACCGCUACACAGUCGGUUAUUAAUAAGUGGCAGUUUUCUUUUUUUUAAAAUGUUUUUAUGCCAAAAAUCCUCAUGCACAGAAAACACAACAAUGUUAACGCAGCAUCUGGCAUGUUGCCAACAGAAUCUUAUCUUUGGCCGUUUAUACACAAUAUUUUCAAACCGAUUUUAUUAACACUCAACUUUGGAUUGGAGGAAAUAAAGUUUCAGGAAUCCCCCACCAGGUGCCACUGCAGUUUAAUAACAACAAUGGCUGCCAUUCCCCACAUUGAUUAGUGCCUGGUAGUUCUUAGUGGUCUGUCUUUCACGUUUCGAUGAAGUAUUAUAUCAGGUGAAGAUUUGGCAGUGGCCUAAAUAGUGAAUAAGUGAGCCAUGCCGGUGCUGCCAGCAUAUUUGACGUUCACUCAGUUCAAGUGAGUGUUAACUGUUUACCAGAAGAAAAGUCACCGCGCACCAAGUGUAUACUUCUCAUCUUUUAUUAGAAUUCAUCAUAAUUAUCUUCUGUUUGUAUUGGAUUUCCUAGACACAUAAGAUAGAAGUACCCAAACAUCAAUUAAUUGCUGCUAUUGCAAUUUAGAAGAAAAAUGGUCCAAAUCAUGAUUUAUUGGUUUUUGCUGCGCUCUCUCAGUUUCACUUAGUAUACUCCUAUUGAAAACCGGAAGGCGACGUAAGCCGAUGGCCUCAACUCAACUACACAAAAUGCAAAUGUUCAUGAACGGACCCCACGGCAUUUACUCCGCAAUCCAGCUGUGAUCAACUUGUGUGGACCCAGUUUUCAGUGUUCCAGCGUCAACACACACGAACCCGAUGAACCGAAUGAAACUCGACAUUAGAAGAUGAAUUUCGAGAUGGCUGGAGCUGAGAGGAGGACAACAACUUGGGUCGGCCUGGCUCUCAUGGGUUCCAAUUCGGCGCUUUAGCCCCUCUCACUUGAGAGGAAUACAGCUAAGAUAUUAUGGAACCCAUCACGUACUUUGUGACUGUUAAGUCAUAAUCCAAAUAUUGAAUCCCUCAUCAGUUCCAAUUCUUUGCUGCCACUAUAUUGUGGACUGUGAGUUAAUGCUGUCACUCUAGAGGUUGCAGAGACCAUCAAAACAAGUUCUCAUUUAAGACGAUCUAGUAUUGAUUGAUUUGAGUUUAAUCCUUUACCGCUGUUCCAAAGACUUGAUUCUUUGGUGAAACUGAGGAGAGAUCGCUGAAAUUCAAGACUGACCGAUAAUUUAUUUUGAUGUAGAAAAAUGACGAAAAAUGACAAGUGCAUAAUCUGGGCUCCCUUCUUUUCUGUGGCCCCGUUUCCCUAACCAACGCCCGCCGAUGGUCACUCACCCGCUGUGAAACCAGGAGGAGGGGAGGGCUCUGGUCGAACGGGGACUUGGAAGGCGCAUGAUCCGAUGAAAACUUUUGGAGGGUCAUGUGUCUAACCCGGAAGCCUAGUAUGACUACAUCUCCCCGGUAAAACUUGCCUCGUACUUCUCUCUUCUUCUCGGUCCAGAUACUUAUCUCUGGGGGCCGUAGACAUGUCCUAUAACAGCAUGUGCGAGUUAGAACAAUGCAUCCACUACCCAAUGAAACAAAUAGCCAUGGUUUAUUUUUUGUGGAACUCUCCGUCAGUAGUUACAAAGACGAUGGAGAUUUCCGCAAAACUAAACUAUCGCUUUUUGUCUCAUUGCCGCAGCGGUGGUGGCGGGUUGCGUUCUAAUCUCGUGCAGAAGAAAAACCGUCUUGAACCGGACGCUCUGUUUAUUGAAUUUAUGGUACAAUUCAAAAAUAAA